rnacentral:piRNA from 1 species
UAGUCCCAGCUACUUGGGAGGCUGAGGCA